GGGGAUGUAGCUCAGUGGUAGAGUGCACGCUUUGCAUGUGUGAGGCCCCGGGUUCAAUCCCCGGCAUCUCCA
rfam:Ciona savignyi cont_3716, whole genome shotgun sequence.